UUUGAACUUCUCUGUUACUCACUAAGCAUACAGUAUUGAAUUUUUAAAAUUAAGAAAUCCGUGAUUUUACUUGCAGGCAUGACUGAUAAAUGGAAUUAUUUUACUUUUAUAUAGAAUAUGGACGGCACUCCAGUACAGCAUGUGCAUGGUUGGACCUGUUGACAUUUUUAGAAACGCAUCUUGGUCUAUUAUACAGAGUAUUGUUGUACUGCUCCAAAGUGCUUGUUGACAGACUGAAACCACUUGCUUGCAGCUCAUAAGGUUUACUUCUUGAGAGCAGGCAGCUACAAAAUGGAAAGUCAACAAAUCCAGUAUACUUGAAAAGCAAGAAAGAAACACCAGAAAAUAUGAAAAGACAGAAAUACAAGGGAACUUGAAUAAAAAAAAACUUUUAAGGAUAGGAAUUCAGGAUUUACUUGGAAACUAAAUUUAUUUUGAGAGCAGCAGUGAUUGACUAAACUCUGUUACUUUAAGAGAUAAUGUAUUAUCACAUUGGUUUUGUUAUU